AUUGAACGCUGGCGGCAGGCCUAACACAUGCAAGUCGAGCGGAUGAAGGGAGCUUGCUCCUGGAUUCAGCGGCGGACGGGUGAGUAAUGCCUAGGAAUCUGCCUGGUAGUGGGGGAUAACGUCCGGAAACGGGCGCUAAUACCGCAUACGUCCUGAGGGAGAAAGUGGGGGAUCUUCGGACCUCACGCUAUCAGAUGAGCCUAGGUCGGAUUAGCUAGUUGGUGGGGUAAAGGCCUACCAAGGCGACGAUCCGUAACUGGUCUGAGAGGAUGAUCAGUCACACUGGAACUGAGACACGGUCCAGACUCCGACAGUAAGCAGCAGUGGGGAAUAUUGGACGAUGGGCGAAAGCCUGAUCCAGCCAUGCCGCGUGUGUGAAGAAGGUCUUCGGAUUGUAAAGCACUUUAAGUUGGGAGGAAGGGCAGUAAGUUAAUACCUUGCUGUUUUGACGGUACCAACAGAAUAAGCACCGGCUAACUUCGUG
rnacentral:rRNA from 1 species